UGAAUUUUGAAACCUUCAGAUAUUUCAAAAGCCCCAGAAAUGCUGUUGUUGUGUAAAUUAAUGCCUGCAUAAAACGCAUAUGUUUCCAGCUUUUAGUUGAAAACAGUGUGGCAUAAAAGCUCUUCUUAACACUUUUAUAAAAAGUAGGCAGCAUAAUUAAACUGCCUUCUUAAUUCUAUGGCAGCAAUCCAUGCAUCUUUCGUGAAGCUUGCAAGCCUAUAAUGCGAUGCAACAAAGAUCAUUAAAAAUAUAUAUUUGUAUUCCAUUGCAAAAACCCUGUUUAUUUUACCACAUGAAUUACCAUUCAGAAUGUGUUUUUGUAAGAUUUGUAAUAUUUUUGAAAGAAGUCUCAUCAACGCUGCAUUUAUUUGAUUAACAAAAUAUAGUAAAAACAUUAAAACUGUGAAAUAUUCAAUAUUUUAUAUAUUUAAAUGUUAUGUAUUUCUUAAUGCAAAGCUGAAUUUUCAGCAUCUUUACUCCAGUCUUCAGUGUCACAUGAUUCAUGCAAUGGCUUUGUGAAAACCAGGAUACUUGUGAUGAGUUUCUAUUUUAUCAAGAAAAGCCCUUAGAAGGCAACUUCCAACAUCAGACAACAAGGCCUGACACUAGGUUUUGAAACACCCUCUUUUGUGUUUAAGCUCAGUCUGAUUUUCUCUUAAACUAGAAGAUCCUUGGAUAUGUUGCUUUUUUCCCCCCAAACCUCAUGAGAAAUAGAUUGUAAAGUGUUAUUUCUACAGCAAAGUGGCUAAAAUGUGCUAGAAUAAGCGAUCGUCUUAGCAAACAUCCACCCCAUCAUUCACAACUGAUUCAGCUUCUCUGAGCUGUGAAAUGCAUCCUCAACAUGAAAGGACAGCAAUCUUUUUCCUUUUCAACCUGUAAAAGCCGUAGCCCUCUCGUCCCCCGGCUCUCCCUCUCCGUUGUGCCCUAAGGAGCUUUUCCGUCUGAAUGUCUCUGGGUCACAUGAUGCACUUCAAGGACUCCUGAUUGGCUCUUGGCAGUUUCCAUGGAUACAGGUUUUGGUGCACCUUCCUGGGAAAAUGUAAACAGUGAGUAGACACAGGAGGAUUGGCAGAAACUGUUUUCUAAUCCCAUCCUUCAUUUUAAUGGUGGUGUUAUAGAAAGAGAAUCUGUGGAAGAGAGGUUAACACACUCUUUACAUGCUGCUUCAGCUCUUUUUUCAUUAUUUAAUCAUCCUGAAAUCAAAAAUGUUUAAUGAACAUGUUCAUGAGCUGUACCAAAGCCAUUUUCAGGAUCACAAACAUCAAUACCGGGGAUUUUUAUCCCUGUACAUUUGUGAAAAUCAAGAGCAGAUUGAUUCUCUGUUUGACUGUAUCCUAUGGAAUCCAUUUCCACCACAGAAUUAAGAAAGAAAAAAAAAGAGUCAUUCAACAGAACAGCAACACUUCCUGUUCCUCAGAGGAUUAAAUCUGGAUCUUGUGAUGUGCAACAUUUCUGAUGUAUAUUCAUUCAACCAUGAGAUCCCAUGCUAAAGCUAAUUCUGUUGUUUUCUGUUUGUUAUAGUUAAUGUUAUCAUGAAAUCUGUAGCCUGGAAACCCAUUUUUGGGAAUUCAGAUUAUCAACCGGAAGACGUUAAGCAUUACCAUGCGACUCAGAUUAAAGCAGCAGCAGGUCCUGUGGAAAAUUCUGACUCCAAAACCUUAAAAGGUGAAAGCAAAACAGCCACAGGACAAGAACAUUUCCACAUGCUUUCCUUCCUGACCUUUCAUUAUACAAGAGCUGGAGGCUGCUUCUAUUCUCAGCAUAAUACAUAAUCAGAUUCCACGGCGUGAUUUUGAAUCCGUCUGAGAUCUGAAGGUUUACUGUAACGUGAGGAAUUUUACUGUUUUCAGCACAAACACCAGAGAACUUUGAUGUCCUUCAUGCUGCUGGAAAUUAAUAUCCUGAAAAUAUCCCAAAACUGAUGCUGUUGAUCUCAAAACACAACACAGCAUCAACUGACUCUGUACUGAGAGUUAACUGAGAGAGUGUUUCUAAACCACAGAAACCCUUUGGUCAUUUCUUUUUUUUUUUCUGUUACAAGACAGAAGAUCAGUGGAGACAAAAGAACAUGCGUUGAGAUGUAAAGAGAGAAAUCCUCAUGUAGUGAACUGGGGCAAAGCAGAUGUCUGUUCAAACGAGUUCUUUGAUUCAAGACUACAUACUAUUUCUCAGAGGUGAUCCCGAACAAAUAUCCAGGCUCAUCUGGAGUGUUUAUUUUUUUGUUUGUUUGUUUGUUUGUUUGUUUUUUUGUCUCUCAGUACCAUAUGGAUCCACAGCAGACAGCAUAUCUAAAAGGAUCACUUUUAAAAAUGUGCAUACACUCACAGGAAAUAAAGAUGGGGGGGGGGGGACAUUAUGGAAAUAAGUUAAAGCAAAUGUGAGAUGUCUGAAAUGGAAUAUAUUAAACAUGCAAUUUAAAUUUAAAUGGCAAUAUUUCCAAAGGCUUGCCAUCUGCACAGUGAACUCAUUUCAGACUGAUUAUCUGGUUAAUGGCAGAGCUAAAGAGACCUUAAUGCAAAGGAACUGUCAGUCUUUGAAGUAUAUGUGCACAGCGUUUCAAAGAGCCACGCUGUGAUACACAGAUGCAGUAGAAGUGUGAUAAUAACCGACUACACAGAGAAACAGAUUCACAAUGGUGUGUGAGGUGCUUCGACUUCUCAUUUGUGCACAUGCUAUAUAUAUAUAUAUAUAUAUACACACACACACACCAUUACGUCCAUAUAUAUUUAGACACUGACACAAUUUUCAUAAUUUCAGCUCUGUAUGCCACCAGAAUGUAAUUAAAAUGAAUUAAUCAAGAUAAAAUUGAAGGGCAGACUUUAAAGGGGUUAUCGGAUGCCCAUUUUCCACAAGUUUAUAUGAUUCUUUAGGGUCUUAGUAAGUAAGUCUAUAACAUUUUUUUGGUUAAAAUUUCUCAAUGGCAGUGUAAAACAACACCCUUUUGACCUUGCCAAAAACAGCUCUGUACACAGCAAGUCGUUUUAGUGCAUGUUUCUUUUUAAAUAUUAAUGAGCUCUGCUCACCCCGCCCCUCUCUUCUGUGGGGUGAAGAACCAUUCUCAUGAGACUGUUAGUUACUGUAGUUGUGGAACUUGCUAACUAGCAUGUUAUUAGGAAAGGCCAUUUACAAAGAUUUAUAAAAUAACAUACUCACUUCUUCUGUAGGUGAAGCUGGAUCACAAAUGAUUUGCGGGAACAUAGAUGCAUUUAGGCAAAUCGGGGAUCGGCGCAUUCCCUUCAAAAACAAAAGUAAUCCACUGUGUCUUCAGUGGUUCAGAUGUCAAGAGUAGGACAACUGCUACGUUCAUUAUUACAUCCAACAACAAAACAACUCAAUUGCUUAGGAGUCAUUCUUGUCUACAUCCCUGAUCCGGUGUUAAAACAAUGGCAGAUUGUUGACAGCUCACUCAGGGCGGAUCUAAGUUAAAACACCAAUGUCAGUCAACAGUUGUGGGAGGGGCCUGGGUCUGUGUGACAUCACACAGCCAAGAAGCUGAGAAUGGCUUGAUUUGUGAAAGGGGAUAUUAUUUAUAGAGAUUAAAAAAAGUAGAUUUUUAUCAUUAAAAUGUAUAUUUAAAUAUAUAUAUAUAUAUAUAUAUAUAUAU
ensembl:lncRNA